AUUGAACGCUGGCGGCAGGCCUAACACAUGCAAGUCGAGCGAGCGGCGGACGGGUGAGUAAUGUCUGGGAAACAGCCUGAUGGAGGGGGAUAACUACUGGAAACGGUAGCUAAUACCGCAUACCAUCAGAUGUGCCCAGAGGGGAUGAGCUAGUAGGUGGGGUACCGGCUCACCUAGGCGACGCUCCCUAGCUGGUCUGCGAGGAUGACCAGCCACACUGGAAAUGAGAUGCGGUCCAGACUCCUACGGGAGGUAGCAGGGGGGAAUAUUGCACAAUGUGCGCAAGCCUGACGCAGCCAUGCCGCGUGUGUGAAGAAGGCCCUCGGGUUGUAAAGCACUUUCAGCGGGGAGGCGUUACCCGCAGAAGAAGCACCGGCUAACUCCGUGCCAGCCGCCGCGGUAAUGC
rnacentral:rRNA from 1 species